UACAGAGGGUGCGAGCGUUGUUCGGAAUUACUGGGCGUAAAGCGCAUGUAGGCGGUCUAGCAGGUCGGAUGUGAAAGCCCUUGGCUUAACUGAGGAAGUGCAUCCGAAACUGGCAGGCUAGAGUACUAAAGAGGGUCGCGGAAUUCCCGGUGUAGAGGUGAAAUUCGUAGAUAUCGGGAGGAACACCGGUGGCGAAGGCGGCGACCUGGGUAGAUACUGACGCUGAGGUGCGAAAGCGUGGG
rnacentral:rRNA from 1 species